AGCUGCAGUAAGCGACACGACUUGCGAGUUCUGGUUUAAUCGCUUCAAAACUAAAAAUUUCAGCUUGAGCGGCAAGCCAAGGAAAUCAAACAAGAGAUACUGGAUGAGGUAGAUCCGGAAACGUUAGACCAAGAGGCAUUUAUUGAAAGUGAGCCAAGUGAAAAUAGCUGACGUCUACCCGGUUCAUAAAAAAAUAAAGUCGGUUACGUUUCCCUGAUGGACCAUCGAUAUCUUGAGGUGAUUCAGCAGCCUGCAAGCUCUGGCCUGCGGAGCGUUUUCGCUGCUGCUGUGUUUGGUUUUAGGGCAAGCAAUC